CCUUUUAGAGAGGAUGAGUAAGGAAUAUACUCUCAGAAUUAAUCUAGGCCAAAUACCUACCCGCCAGCGCGGUUACCAACAGGAGGGGAACGUUAUUCGGAAAUAAUUGGGGUUAAAGGGCAGUUGGUGGUAUGGUAAGUAAGUCAGUAAAGAUCAAUGGUUCAUCAAGCGAGGUGCUUGAGGAAACCAAGUUAGAAGAUGGUAGAGGGAAGAAGAGGUAUUCCCAUAGUAGCGGAAUAAGCAGAUAUCAGGGGGAGAAACACCGGUGGGAAGGCAGUCUUGUAAGCCAUAAAUGGCGGUUAAGUCCGGAACGCCAGGUAUCCAACAGGGAUUAAUUACCCGUAGUUUCCCACAGUUAAAAAAAAACAGGGGGUUCGAGUUUAAAGA
rnacentral:rRNA from 1 species